rnacentral:rRNA from 1 species
CAGUAGCCGCGGUAAUACGUAGGGCGCAAGCGUUAUCCGGAAUUAUUGGGCGUAAAGAGCUCGUAGGCGGUUUGUCGCGUCUGCCGUGAAAGUCCGGGGCUCAGCCCCGGAUCUGCGGUGGGUACGGGCAGACUAGAGUGAUGUAGGGGAGACUGGAAUUCCUGGUGUAGCGGUGAAAUGCGCAGAUAUCAGGAGGAACACCGAUGGCGAAGGCAGGUCUCUGGGCAUUAACUGACGCUGAGGAGCGAAAGCAUGGGGAGCGAACAGGAUUAGAUACCCCUGUAGUCCCUGUCUCUUAUAC